UUAAUAUUUAUAUUAUUUGUAUUUUUAUUUAUUUAUAUUUUAUCAGAAAUAACUUUUUUAUUAGUAUAUUUUAUUGAACUUAUUUUUAAUUAUUAUAGGUUAUAUUACUGUGUAGGAAUUUUUUAUAUUUAAUUUAAGCAAAUUUUUUUUAUUGUACCUUUUGUAUCAGGGUUUAUUAAAUAUAUAUUAAUUAUUUAUUAAUUUUCCCGAAAUUAAAAGAGAUAUAUUUUUAUGAUAGUUUACAUUUUAUAGUAAUUUUUAAUUAAAAUAUAGGGGCUAUAUACUAUUCAUUUUUAAAUAUCUGGUUUUCUAAUAAAUUAAUUUAAUUAAGGAUAAUAAUUGUUUAAUUUAUCAAUUAAUUUUAUUUAAUGUUAUUAUCUAAAAUCUUUGGGGAUAAGCUCAUUGAUUAAUUUAUAAUUUUUAUUUUUAAAAAAUUUUGUAGGCUUAGUAACAGCUAUCAUUUAUUUCGUUAUAGUUAAUUUUUUUUUGUUAUUUAUUUAUUAAUAAUUUAAUUUUUUAUUGGAAUUUUUUAAUUAAUUAUUAUUUUUAAGUAAUUAUGAUAAAAUUAGUAGUUUUGUAUAUUUAAAUAUAGUAAUUCGGCAAUUUUAAUCUUCGCCUGUUUAACAAAAACAUGUCCUAUUGUUUAAUAUUAAUUUUAGGUCUAACCUGCCCAGUGAAAUAAUUUGAAUGGCCGCAGUAUACUAACUGUGCGAAGGUAGCAUAAUCAUUUGUCUUUUAAUUGAAGGCUUGUAUGAAUGGUUGGACGAAGGAUUAACUUUCUUUAUUUAAUUUUAAUUAAUUUGAUUUUUUAGUUAAAAAGCUUAAAUGUAUUUGCAAGACGAGAAGACCCUGUAGAAUUUUAUAAUUAUGAUAUUUUUUAUUUUAUUUGUAAUUUUAAUUAUAAAUAAUAUUUUAAUUAUUUUGUUGGGGCGACAAUGGAAAUAGUUUAACUUCCAUUAAUAUAAAUCAUUUAUUUAUGUUUAUUUUGAUCUUUUAUUAAAGAUUAAAAGAUUAAAUUACCUUAGGGAUAACAGCGUAAUUUUUUCGGAGAGUUCUUAUCGAUGAAAUAAGUUUGCGACCUCGAUGUUGGAUUAAAGUUAGUUUUUGGUGCAGAAGCUAAAUUACUAAGUCUGUUCGACUUUUAAAUCUUUACAUGAUCUGAGUUCAGACCGGCGUGAGCCAGGUUGGUUUCUAUCUGCAAUAGUUUUUUAUAAUUUAGUACGAAAGGACCAAUUAUAAAUAAUAUUUAUUUAUUUUUGAGUAUUAUUAA
rnacentral:rRNA from 1 species